rnacentral:tRNA from 1 species
UGCCCUAUUGUGUAAUGGUAGCACUCCAGAUUCUGGAUCUGGUUGUCGAGGUUCGAAUCCUUGUAGGGCAG